rnacentral:lncRNA from 1 species
GUCGCAGUGCUCGGGUCCUCCGAGCUCGCUCUUCUCCGGCGUUCUCUCCAAGCGGCGCUAUCGGUGUUCCGUCACCGCCCGGGCUGCUCGGCCGGCAGCUCCGUGCAGAGACAGCCAUCGGUGCGGCUCGCAGGAGGCAGCCGGCUCUUCGUGGCGCCGCAGGUCCUGAACACCAAAAGAGACACCUGAACCAGCUCACAAUCCCUGAAGGAUCACACAGGAACCGUGCACUUAUCACACUGAGCCCAAAGAUAAAAAGGAAAGCAAGGAGCCUCUUCACAGUCUACUCCUUGGGCAUGGUCUUGACAGCAACUCUGACAGAAGAGAUGAGUUUUCAGGCACUGCCUGAGGAAAUCCCCUUUUAGGAUGGAAAUGCUGUGAUGGAGGACAGUUCUGUCACAGAAGUGCCCAG